rfam:TPA: Bos taurus chromosome 19, whole genome shotgun sequence.
UCCCUGGUAGCUCAGACAGUAAAGAGUCUGCCUGCAGUGCAGGAGACCCAGGUUCUAUCCCUGGAUUGGGAA